GGGGCCUUAGCUCAGUUGGUAGAGCGCUUGCAUGGCAUGCAAGAGGUCGUCGGUUCAAGCCCGAUAGGCUCCACCA
rnacentral:tRNA from 7 species